rnacentral:sRNA from 1 species
CCCGGCCGCCCCCGCGGGGGACACCUCCUCGCCGCCACAGCUUUAGGAAACACCUCUACCUCCUGCGAGGCCUCCCGGGCUCCGGGAAAACUACACUGGCCAGACAAUUGCAGCAUGACUUUCCCAGGGCCCUGAUUUUCAGCACGGAUGAUUUUUUCUUCAGGGAAGAUGGUGCCUAUGAGUUCAAUCCUGACUUCCUGGAGGAAGCUCAUGAAUGGAACCAAAAAAGAGGUGACAAAUUCCUUCCCAAACUCCUGGGAAACCCUGAUGUGCACAUAGAUUGUAGCUGCUGCAGAAUGAAUAAAUUUUAUGGAAGGAGUUUAACCGAAAGUUCUGCCAAUUUUUGCCCCAAAACAGAACACCAGAGCAUAACCUCCUUAGAUUCCAGAGAAAGAAAAUUAUUGAUAGUGGGCUCUGAAGUUGUGUGAUGAGGAGAUGAGGGCAUCCUGUAAUAAAAAUGACGAAUAGAGAUUACGCUCACCCUUCCCUCUGAUUGUUGCAUGUUGUUCACUGUUAUGUAACAUUGUGUUGCAGCAAGAAAAGCAAUGAGGAAUGGCAUAUCCCCCAUUAUUAUUGAUAAUACCAACCUCCACGCCUGGGAAAUGAAGCCCUAUGCAGUCAUGGUAGGAAGAAGUAUCAUUCUGAAUUUUCAGUUAUGGACAUUUUGUGAGAAAGUUGAAGCAUCUGUUCUUUCCUCUUUUUCUGAUGUUCCAUGAUUUCAUAUUUGCUAACAGUGGUUCUCCCAGGGAGAAGGUAAUGAGGUUUUAUUUUAGUGUUUCUCUGCUGUUCAAUGGCUGAAGUUUGCUGAGAUGCUAAUCUCACUUGAGGAUACAAUUUAAAAAUAGUCCUUGGCAAAUGGUCCUUGGUGUGAAUCCUUGAUAACUUUUCUGUCUUAAUUACUUUCCUACGGCAAGGCAUACAGAGAAGCACCCACCGAAAUGUUCAGAUCAAUACUAAUACUGAAUUAGAUGGCGCUCCUAGUGGAGCUACAGGUCACAACAGGACAGUUCUGCCUCUGGUGAGCCGGGAAUUUCCACACUGUGUGCUGUUGCUCCCUGGGAGUUCCAGGGCAACAGAAUAUUUUAGUCUAAAAACAGAUUUAGGGCCAGGCGUGGUGGCUCACGCCUGUAAUCCCAGCACUUUGGGGGGCCGAGGCGGGCAGAUCACUUGAGUCCAGGAGUUCGAGACCAGCCUGGCCACCAUGGUGAAACCCCAUCUCUACUAAAAAUACAAAAAUAGCCGGGGCGUGGUGGCGGGCACCUGUAAUCCCAGCUACUUGGGAGGCUGAGGCAGGAGAAUCGCUUGAACCUGGGAGGCGGAGGUUGCAGUGACCUGAGAUCGCACCACUGCACUCCAGCCUGGGUGACAUGAGUGAAAUUCCGUCUCAAAAAAAAAAUAAAUUAAAUUAAAAAAUAAAAACAGA